rnacentral:rRNA from 1 species
UACGGGGGGGGCAAGCGUUGUUCGGAAUUACUGGGCGUAAAGGGCGCGUAGGCGGCCUUCUAAGUCGGGCGUGAAAUCCCUGGGCUCAACCCAGGAACUGCGUCCGAUACUGAAAGGCUUGAAUCCGGGAGAGGGAUGCGGAAUUCCAGGUGUAGCGGUGAAAUGCGUAGAUAUCUGGAGGAACACCGGUGGCGAAGGCGGCAUCCUGGACCGGUACUGACGCUGAGGCGCGAAAGCCAGGGGAGCAAGCGGG